CUAAAAAUUGUUCUUCCAGGCACACUUCAUCCCUUUUAGACACUUCACACCUUUAACCAUGUUGCUCAAACCCAAAUCGCGAGCGGUUCACGCCUCAAACCCAAACACUUCUUGAAUCGCUGCUUAUCGAUUUCAGUUUUCCUUCUCGCCUCAGAUCUCUACUCGUAAAACCCAAAUCUCUUCACGCCUCAUAUCUCCGAUUUCUCUCUUCACACCUCAAAUCCCCAAUCGCCACUCUUCACACACCUUAAAUCCCUAAUAGAUUUCAAUUUCCCAAUCUCACGAGUUGCGUAAACUUUGGAAUAACCAAGAGCUAGAGGAGAGGGAUUUAGAGGAAUAGCAAGAGUUGCUUCUCUACAUUAUGAGGAGAGGGAUCUACAUACUUUGGUAGAACUAGAAGAAUAUACAAAAGUUAAUACCACUUAAUGAAGACGGAGGAUCAAUCCCUUUGUAACACUUUCAUUUUAGAAAAAUGAGUGUCUAUAAACUAUAUGUCAUUAUUGUUAGUGUCUACAAGUUUCAUGUAGAGUCCUCCUAUAUGAUGAAUGAAGAUUGAAACAUGUACAUUUGUGUAAUAUUACAAACACUUGAAUAAAAAUGUUCAUAUAUUUAUCUGUUA